CAUGUAGGUGGCGCGGAAAGUUGGACGUGAAAGCUCCCGGCUUAACUGGGAGAGGUCGUACAAAACUACCGAGCUUGAGGUUGGAAGAGGAGAGCGGAAUUCCCGGUGUAGUGGUGGAAUGCGUAGAUAUCGGGAGGAACACCAGUGGCGAAAGCGGCUCUCUGGUUCAAUACUGACACUGAGAUGCGAAAGCGUGGGGAGCGAACGGGAUUAGAUACCCCGGUAGUCCACGCUGUAAACGAUGGAUACUAGGUGUAGGCGGUCAUUAACCCCGUCUGUGCCGAAGCUAACGCGUUAAGUAUCCCGCCUGGGGACUACGGCCGCAAGGUUAAA
rnacentral:rRNA from 1 species